AUUGAACGCUGGCGGAAUGCUUUACACAUGCAAGUCGAACGGCAGCACGGACUUCGGCCUGGUGGCGAGUGGCGAACGGGUGAGUAAUGUAUCGGAACGUGCCCCGUCGUGGGGGAUAACGUAGUGAAAAUUACGCUAAUACCGCAUACGAUCUCUGGAUGAAAGCGGGGGAUCGCAAGACCUCGCGCGAUUGGGGCGGCCGAUAUCAGAUUAGCUAGUUGGUGGGGGAAAGGCCUACCAAGGCAACGAUCUGUAGUUGGUCUGAGAGGAAGACCAGGCACACUGGGACUGAGACACGGCCCAGACUCCUACGGGAGGCAGGAGUGGGGAAUUUUGGACAAUGGGCGCAAGCCUGAUCCAGCAAUGCCGGGUGAAGGAAGAAGGCCUUCGGGUUGUAAACUGCUUUUGUCAGGGAAGAAAUCCUCUAGGUUAAUACCCUUGGGGUGAUGACGGUACCUGAAGAAUAAGCACCGGCUAACUACGUGCCAGCAGCCGCCGUAA
rnacentral:rRNA from 1 species